CUUUAUUUUCUCAUCCUCCCAGGAUGCAAGGGAAAAUAUUUACAUUCCCUUUUUGCUGAAGCAGCAAAGCCAUCAGGUUUCCCAAUCUGGAAAGUCCCGAUGUGCACGUUUGGGCCUAUGCUGGAGACGCCAAAGUGAGAAGCGUGGCCUGUGUCGGAGCAGAGUUUCCAGUGCCACGGCCGGUGUGGCGCAUCUGGGACACGUCUGAGCCCCGGCCGCCCUGCCUCUGAAAGGCCUAGAAGGAGCUGGAGGCGGCUCAGGAAUGCUGAGACCCGGAGCUCCUCUGCACACUCACUGACCUGUUGCUACGGUGACGGUGACGUGCAGAAGCAGUGACACCCGCCUGAGCUGCAGCCCUGUCCACAGAAGGCAGAGAAGAGAGAGCUCAGCCCCGAGAGCCAAGAGCCGGAUGGGAAGUCACCUCGUGUCCACGGACAGGAGUGUGGGGCCCAGAGUCCUUGGAAGCCUGUAUCUGAGAACUAUCUGGAUCAUAUUAUACAUUGAUUUCUUCUUGGCUUUGAAAAUGGUUUUAGUGUUGAUGCAACCUCAUUAAAAGUAUCUGCUAAAACACUCUGGUACAGUCUAUGUGCCUGGCUUUGAAACCCGCCCCAGCAACAAAAAUGCCCUUUGCAUAAUGCCCCCAUCAGCUUAUGGUGCACAAAAAUGUAAUCACAGGCUCGAGUCGCAAAUCAGUCAUUGUAGCACCUGGAAUCUUGUAAAGAGAUGAAGAAAAUAAGAAGGUUUACUUCCUUGGCUAUUUAAACUCACUGGUCCUUUCGAAUGGAUUUCCCCAACAGGACUCAGGGGACCGCAGCCCACCGGUUUGCUUGGUGAUGUGAAGGGGAGAGUUCCUGCCUAGCUGUGGCCCUUCGGGGCAGGGGGAGGGGACGACCCAGCCGACAGACUGCGUCCCAGAGCCGGCCUCGUACGUUAGCUUCAGUGGCCAGUGCCCCGUUACGCCGAAUGCCCUUGUAAAGGGAGGCUCCCCAAGUGCAUGUAACACAAGUCUUCACCGCAAGGCGGCGCGCAAGAGUUCGUCUCAUCGGAGGAUCUUCGCGCUGUCCUUCCGGAGAAAAAGAGCUGAAGGCACUUGGGUGGCGAUUAAGCACGAACGCGCUCGUUUCCCGACGGGCCAAGCGUGCGACUCUCGCCCAGGGAAAUCUCGCCCGGCGUCAGCGCUGCCCGGACAGGCAGUCGGAGCUUCCGCGGCGCCGACGCCGGGCAGCUCUUCCGGAGCGAGAGGAAGCCCGCCGUGGGCUGGACCGGCAGGCACGUUUCUCGGGAGGAUGAGGACGAAAGGCCGCCGGCCCCAGCCCGACGUUUCGCCGGUCAGUGUAACAGGUUACACUUCGAGCAGUUCGGAGGUUUCCAAUCGGUGGAAGCGCUGAGAAAGGGGUGCUCGGAAUGAACAGCAAUCUUGCCCUCACACGCACUGUGAGUGGCCUUCGUCCAAGCCAGGCUGUGUCCACAAGCUUCCAGCUGACAUUUGGAAGAAAGAUACGCUCCUUCUGAGCUGAUUUUGGAGAGUUCUACAAAUAUGCCUCAUGGCCCCGUUCUCGGACCUCUGACCCCACUCCCACGUGAGGGCCAGGACGGAUCAGCGCAGCCCUGUGUGUGGUUCAUGUCUUCCAAGGUUCACAUCAGCUCCUCCAAGAGCUUCAUACCUCCGUGAUGACGAAUAUCACUUGGACAUAAAGGGGGUGUGGUUCCGGUGACCAAGAGGGGUCUUCGUGACUUCCCCAUCCUUGAAGGCAGGACCACCAGCUGUCCAGGCGAGCAGCCUGUGAUCCGUCCCACCACCCUCAUCAAGGACCUCGAAAGCGGCUGGUAAGAAAUGGGGGGGUGGGCCCUGGAGGCCAGUGGGGUGACCCUGAGUCUGCUGCACCUGCGAGCCACCUGGGGAGAUUUCGGAACUCCAGGGCCCAGCUCGAACCCAGACUCAGUAGAUGGUCGGCUCUCCGGGAGGGCUGGGCCCACAGCACACGGGAGGGCAAGGGUCAAAGGGUAGGGGUCGGCAUGCUGGAGUCACCUGGCAGUUUUAAAAACUUCUGCACAUCUGUUCACUCCCAGAGAUCCUGAUCACAGUCUGGGAUGAGACCCUGAUGGUCUCAGAUUGAAAGGCGCCUACACAGCAGAAUCACCUGGGGGGGUGCUUCCCAAACAACCUUCGGUAUCUGGGCUCCACUCUCAACGACUUGGGUUUCAUGCAGGACAGCGGCCCUCAAACCCAGGCUGCACCCAGCAGCCUUCCUGGAGGCGGGGCCCGGUGCCCCCAGCACUGAGACCCAGAGGACCCCAUGACCCGGGACCCCCAGGAUCCCUGACAUCCUUUCGGGAUCGCUGUUAGCUCACAACGCUUUCCUUUACAACGCCCAGAUGUAAUCUGCCUCUGCCUACUUCACACCCCACUUUCUCAAGGGUUUCUCAGAGCCCUUGGCAGAGGGGAGCCGCACCCCUGCUCUUCCCGCCUCCUCUGGCAUCCUCUCUGAGUAAAUUUUCUGGCUGGGACAAUAUGGUUGCUUAUCUUGAAAAAUAAGUUUCGGUUUACACGUAAUGGGUUUGUUAUGUUUUUUUUUUUUUUUAAUUAGUAAAUAUUUGAAGAUUUCUCUUCAUUGCUAACAUGGUAACUGUUUGGCAGAUACAACUCUCAGAUCACCAGUUCAGGCUCUACCCCUUGCCAGAGCUGGAACCUGUCACCAAACCUCCGUCAUCAUUGUCCCGGCCCAGCUAAAGGGCAUAAUUCACGCCUACUCGCAGGGGAACUGAGAGGCUUCACGCAAAGCGGGUUGUUAAGCCCGAGCUAGAACAGACGCUCAGUGCAAGGUUCCUUGCCCCCCUCGCCCUCCCGUCAGGGAGCAACCGGUCUGUGGUCACCUGGAUUCUGGGCUCGGGGAUCUGGGUUCGCCGAGCCAGCUCUUCUCUGGCAGUGAUGUCAGGGUACGAGUCCCUCUCGAAGGCCUCGAUGAGCGCCUGGUACUGGGUCUUGCUGAACUUGGUCCGUUUGCGUCUCCGACCUCCCUGGGGCGCUGGGGCGGAUUCGCACCCAGAAAGAGGAGGUGUUAGUCUGACCCCACGUUUAGGUCCGUUUCGAGACUCGCUCCCCGUCCAAGUCAGCGUGCAGCCUCCCCAAGACGAGGUGUCCGCCUGCAGACACGGGACUCCGGCCCCUCUGAAAAAGCCUCCCAGUCGUCCCGAGCUGCUGCCCCUGGCCGGUGCCCUAGGCGGACGUGCUGGGGACCCUCCCUGAGCUCCCGCACCGACGGCUGCACCUGCUCUCCCCGCAUGAGCUGAACCCCCCCCCCCGCCCCCAAUCCCCGGCUGCGGGCUGCGGGGGCAUCUCGGAGGGCUCGGCCGCUCCGGGAUGGGCACGACUGGGUCUCCCAGCCUCCGACGGCCCACUACCUCUGCUUGUGCCCAAGACACACGAGUGGGGAGAGAGGCCAAAAACCACAAGAUGAGGAGACUUCGUGUGCAAAAGCCCAGCCCAGGGGAUUUCUGUCUGUCGACACGGGUUUUUUUCCCCCGUGACCUGGGGAGGCUUGCUGGUCCCCAACCCCGGGCCGGGCAGAGCGGGCUCCCCUCUGACGGGAUUUAGGUCAACACAGAAUCCGCUGUGGAGAAAAGCCCGCAGAAUACACGGCCCGGGGGAAGCCGGGCUCCCUUCCCUCCUCCUGUCCUCCUCAGGCGCCACAGUGCCAGCCAGCAGCCCCCACAAGAGGGGACUUGUGGACUGAAAAAUGGUGUCGCCCGUGCUCCUCGAGAGGGCCUUUCCGGGUCCGGUCCGGGGUGUUGGUCUCUCUUCCCAGGUCCCCAAACCAGACGUCACGGUGAGCAACGCCUGAGACCUGCCUGGACCCCACUGCCCGGCCUCUCCGGCCACCAACCCCACCCCCAGGACCCCCCUCUAGGACUCACGGUCUGAAGACAUGACCAAGCUGGAGACUGAAGCAGGUCGGAGGGAUCUCGAGCAGAGGCCAGGCCCGGGCCCGCGACAGACGCAGCCCUGGAUUCAAGCCAGCCUUGGCCCUGACCUGUGGCCAGGCCCCUCCCCUGCCACAGGCCGUGAGGGCGUUUCUGUCCGGCAGCCCACACGUGGCGACUCCAAGCUGGGAUGUGCCGUGAGCGGGUACGCACUCUGCUUUGUGAACACUCGAGACACACAACGUGAAGCAGCUCAGUGACGUCCGUAUUCGUAAUAUGGCCAAAGCAAUGACACGUUUGACAAACUGGGUGGACUAAAAUGUAUUAUCAAAAUCCG